rnacentral:siRNA from 1 species
GCAGGAGGUUUGUUAGUCAGACG